GAGUUUGAUCGUGGCUCAGGAUGAACGCUGGCGGCGUGCUUAACACAUGCAAGUCGAGCGAAGCACCUUGACGGAUUUCUUCGGAAUGAAGUUUUGGUGACUGAGCGGCGGACGGGUGAGUAACGCGUGGGUAACCUGCCUCAUACAGGGGGAUAACAGUUGGAAACGGCUGCUAAUACCGCAUAAGCGCACAGUACCGCAUGGUACCGUGUGAAAAACUCCGGUGGUAUGAGAUGGACCCGCGUCU
rnacentral:rRNA from 1 species